GACGAACGCUGGCGGCGUGCCUAAUACAUGCGAGUUGAGCGAUGAAGAUUGGUGCUUGCACCAAUUUGAAGAGCAGCGAACGGGUGAGUAACGCGUGGGGAAUCUGCCUUUGAGCGGGGGACAACAUUUGGAAACGAAUGCUAAUACCGCAUAACAACUUUAAACAUAAGUUUUAAGUUUGAAAGAUGCAAUUGCAUCACUCAAAGAUGAUCCCGCGUUGUAUUAGCUAGUUGGUGAGGUAAAGGCUCACCAAGGCGAUGAUACAUAGCCGACCUGAGAGGGUGAUCGGCCACAUUGGGACUGAGACACGGCCCAAACUCCUACGGGAGGCAGCAGUAGGGAAUCUUCGGCAAUGGACGAAAGUCUGACCGAGCAACGCCGCGUGAGUGAAGAAGGUUUUCGGAUCGUAAAACUCUGUUGGUAGAGAAGAACGUGGGUGAGAGUGGAAAGCUCAUCAAGUGACGGUAACUACCCAGAAAGGGACGGCUAACUACGU
rnacentral:rRNA from 1 species